rnacentral:rRNA from 1 species
GGUCAGGAUGAACGCUGGCGGCGUAGCUUAACACAGUGCAAGUCGAACGAAGCACUGGCUUGAAGUUUCGGACAGAUAAGCCUCUGACUUAGUGGCGGACGGGUGAGUAACGCGUGGGCAACCUGCCGUAUGCAGGGGGACAACAGUUGGAAACGACUGCUAAUACCGCAUAAGCGCACGGGGACGCAUGUUUCUGUGUGAAAAGCCUUAACGGCAUACGAUGGGCCCGCGUUGGAUUAGGUAGUUGGUGAGGUAACGGCCCACCAAGCCGACGAUCCAUAGCCGACCUGAGAGGGUGACCGGCCACAUUGGGACUGAGACAGGCCCAAAUCCUACGGGAGGCAGCAGUGGGGAAUAUUGCACAAUGGGGGAAACCCUGAUGCAGCCGACGCCGCGUGAGUGAAGAAGUAUUUCGGUAUGUAAAGCUCUAUCAGCAGGGAAGAAAAUGACGGUACCUGACUAAGAAGCCCCGGCUAACUACGUGCCAGCAGCAGC